ACUCAAAGGAAUUGACGGGGGCCCGCACAAGCGGCGGAGCGUGCGGUUUAAUUCGACGCAACGCGAAGAACCUUACCAGGGCUUGACAUGCGCCUGCAUGGCCGGGAAACCGGUCAGCCUUCGAGGGUGGCGCACAGGUGCUGCAUGGCUGUCGUCAGCUCGUGUCGUGAGAUGUUGGGUUAAGUCCCGCAACGAGCGCAACCCCCGUGGUCAGUUGUCGAUGUUUCUGGCCAGACUGCCGGCAGCAAACCGGAGGAAGGUGGGGAUGACGUCAAGUCAGCAUGGCCCUUACGUCCUGGGCGACACGCACGCUACAAUGGUCGGGACAGCGGGUAGCCAAGUCGUAAGGCGGAGCGAAUCCCUGAAACCCGAUCUCAGUUGGAAUUGUGGGCUGCAACUCGCCCACAUGAACGUGGAGUCGCUAGUAACCGCGGGUCAGCACUACCGCGGUGAAUACGUUCCCGGGCCUUGCACACACCGCCCGU
rnacentral:rRNA from 1 species